UACGUAGGUGGCGAGCGUUGUCCGGAUUUAUUGGGCGUAAAGCGCGCGCAGGCGGUGCCGUAAGUCCGCUGUGAAAUCUCCCGGCUCAACUGGGAGGGGGCGGUGGAGACUGCGGCACUGGAGGGACUCAGAGGCCGGUGGAAUUCCCGGUGUAGUGGUGAAAUGCGUAGAGAUCGGGAGGAACACCUGUGGCGAAGGCGGCCGGCUGGGGGUGCCCUGACGCUGAGGCGCGACAGCGUGGGGAGCGAACCG
rnacentral:rRNA from 1 species